UCAGCUUUGUGUGUAACGUUUUUCCUUGGGGUGCAAUAUAAUGGUUGCAAAUUAAGAAUUUCCCAUUUAGUGGAAAAUGUAGUUCUUUUGAUGAGGAUAAUCUGGCUUUUGCUUAACCAGCUAAAUAUUUUUUUGAUGGAAUGAUUUGUAGAAUUUGCUUCAUGCUGCAAAGAUGGAAGUGGAUAAAAUCAUGCUCACGGACAGAUGCACCACUUCUAUUCCCUCCUGGGCAGAUACCUGAGGAGCAUUCUCUCUCGUCAGAGUUCUAAACAUACCGUUUCAGAGCUAGUUGAAUUCCUUUAUGCAAUAGAUUCUUGGGCAAGAAGAACAAGUUUCCUUCAGACAAGGAUCUUGUUGGGGUUUUAAUUCACAUGACGAGUAUGCUAUUCCUUAUCUAGAAAUAGUCAUGUUUAAUCUGGUGCCCUUUUGUUUUGUAUUAAUGCCAAACUUUGACUGGUUUUCAGAAGUAAGAA